GAUCAUUUGCAGGAACCUAUUACUUUCCCCGGAGAAGAAAGUUCUGCCAGUCCUUCCACCUCCAAGACUGUAGCGGCUAUUAAAGCUUACAGCGAGCACAUAGUCGUCAAUAUUGUUAUUAACAAUGACUUCGUGCUAAACAAAGUCGCUCUCUUUGACACCGGCGCUGACAGUAACUGUAUUGUCAAAGGCCUCGUACCCACU
rnacentral:lncRNA from 1 species